UGUAGCUUAUUAGCUGCAUAUUGACGUAGCGUCAGAAGAAGCAACGUCUACUGCGUGCAGCAGCCGCGGUAAUACGGCGGUGCGAGCGUUAAUCGGAAUACUGGGCGUAAAGCGCAUGCAGGUGGUUUGUUAAGUCAGAUGUGAUAAGCCGGGGCUCAACCUCGGAAUUGCAUUUGAAACUGGCAGACUAGAGUACUGUAGAGGGGGGUAGAAUUUCAGGUGUAGCGGUGAAAUGCGUAGAGAUCUGAAGGAAUACCGGUGGCGAAGGCGGCCCCCUGGACAGAUACUGACACUCAGAUGCGAAAGCGUGGGGAGCAAACAGGAUUAGAUACCCUGGUAGUACACGCCGUAAACGAUGUCUACUUGGAGGUUGUGGCCUUGAGCCGUGGCUUUCGGAGCUAACGCGUUAAGUAGACCGCCUGGGGAGUACGGUCGCAAGAUUAAAACUCAAAUGAAUUGACGGGGGCCCGCACAAGCGGUGGAGCAUGUGGUUUAAUUCGAUGCAACGCGAAGAACCUUACCUACUCUUGACAUCCAGAGAACUUUCCAGAGAUGGAUUGGUGCCUUCGGGAACUCUGAGACAGGUGCUGCAUGGCUGUCGUCAGCUCGUGUUGUGAAAUGUUGGGUUAAGUCCCGCAACGAGCGCAACCCUUAUCCUUGUUUGCCAGCGAGUAAUGUCGGGAACUCCAGGGAGACUGCCGGUGAUAAACCGGAGGAAGGUGGGGACGACGUCAAGUCAUCAUGGCCCUUACGAGUAGGGCUACACACGUGCUACAAUGGCGCAUACAGAGGGCAGCCAACUUGCGAAAGUGAGCGAAUCCCAAAAAGUGCGUCGUAGUCCGGAUUGGAGUCUGCAACUCGACUCCAUGAAGUCGGAAUCGCUAGUAAUCGUGGAUCAGAAUGCCACGGUGAAUACGUUCCCGGGCCUUGUACACACCGCCCGUCACACCAUGGGAGUGGGCUGCAAAAGAAGUAGGUAGUUUAACCUUCGGGGAGACGC
rnacentral:rRNA from 2 species